CGGUCAUCUAUGAUCGGGGGUGUCACAAAGGUGGUAUCAGAGCAUGGUUAUACGAUGCUUGAAUGGGACUUGUUUCAAAUGUUUUUCGAGUCAAAAUGAGUCGCAAGGAUAACUAGGAUAUGCUGGCUGGUUCUUUCAUUUUAGAAUAGAUAGUCAUGGGUAGUUACCUAACAGUGAUCUUUCAUAGCAGAAGCACCGAGACAAGCUUGAACGGAUUGACCUUACUUACCGAUGUUACUAUCAUAAGGCUCGAGUGUGCUACCCUCAUGGUCGGGUUCACUAUCGCCAUGUUAAGAAUUUUAUACAUCGAAUACAUCUCUGGACUCAUGUGUUAUCGAUGUCAAGGUGGGCGUUGUUUGUGGUUUGAUUCAGAGCGAUGCGACUGCACAUGAUCACCUAGAUGCACUUAUUCUUCCGGCUUCUCAAGUCUCCAGCUUAUGCUGAGACGUACAAGAAACAGAGUCGUACAAGCCUGAAUUGUUCAAAAUUUGUUUGGAGCUUACCGUUGGAGGAAGAGAUGGUUCAACUAUAGUACAAGCCGAUGGACACACAUGCAUCUUCUGUUGGCAACAAGACAUCUUAAAGCUUAUGAUGGAAAGAAGUAGUGGGACCACAAGAUACAGAAGAAGGACUAAACCGUUCGAGGUAUACUAUGGCUUGAGGCAGAUUUGGGAUGCAACACCCUGAGAAAAAUAUUUUCUUCAGAGAGGUGAGAUCGAUUUGGACAGAUUUCAAGAGUUCACGAAGUAGUAUUUUAUACACAAGAUAUGGGACCGAUUGAAGAUUCAGUUCACGGAGUUGGUACAGUGGGAUGUUUCCGCCAGAAGGUUCAGGUCGAGUUAAUCAUAUACAACAAUUUCAGCAUCGAGAUAUGUGGUCGAGUGAAUUUCAUUCAUCGAUUAUGGUUUGAAGAAUAAUCCAAAGAUCAUAUGGAAAAUCUUUGGGAACUUAGCCAAGAAUUUUGGAGUAGAUAAAAGACCAUGGAGUUUCAAAGCCUCGAGGAGAUGUUAGAGUAUGACGUGAAUGUUAAAGAAGCUAUUAUUGCUGAAGAAGUUAACCAAGUCAUGCAGACCGUUUAUUUUCCAACCGCUGCAGAUCAAAGAUCAAGAUCGAGGACCUUGAGCCGUUAUGGUUGUUACUAGCAAAGACAGAAUGGUCGUGAUUGUCAAAGUUUGGGAAAUCCUGGAACGUUUGCAUCAUUCGCGCUUUGGUGGUUCUUGUGAAGAGUUAGGAAUUUAGGUUACCCUUCCUCAUGAAGUUACCCGAUCUAGUUACCUAUACCUAAGAUAACACUUGUUGAACUUGUCCGCUUUUCCUUACCGUUAGUCCACAUCCAAGUGUUAGGCUAUUUGGGUAGAGCCUACACUUUAUAGUUGUCUGGACCGUCAAAACCCCUGAAAGGUCCAAUCACAGGUUUGCUUCUUAUCCCAUUGUGUGUUGUGUGCAUUUUUAAAAUCUUAUAAUUGAUUGAAAUAAAAUAUAUAUAUAUAUAUAUAUAUAUAUGUGAAUUGUGAUCAAGAUGUCGUAAGAGACCUUGCCUAUGGAUGGAGUUUUCCGCCCAUAUCGUGUUUUAUUCGGGAAUAACACAUAGUUGUAGUUCCCGAGCAUUGUCAUAGUAUUAGAAAGGAUUCACUUUGGUGAAUUCAAGUAUCCGUUCUUAUUUGUGGAAGUAUUGGCUGCCAUUUGAAGUAAUGGUAUGCCUUCCCCAUUCCUUAGUACUUCUGUUAGAGCGGUAUGUUUCUAUCUAGAGUGAGAUUUGCUAUCUAGUUACCGAGCUCAAUUAGGAUGUCGAGGAAAGAAGUAUUAGGAAGAAGACCCGUCACUGUUGGCCUACAAUGAUACUCUACCAAGUGUUUGAGCAUGCUCAUAACAGUUUGGCAAGUUGAAAACCUUUUGGGAAAAAGGUGAAGAAGUGUACUCUAGUAACUUGAUUGUUUAAAUUGUAAAAGAUGAAAAGGUGCAGAGUAGAAGACAGUCUGAUAAUCAAGAAAGAUGAAGAUGUGGUUAAGGCAUUGAAAGGAUGGUUGACAUCUAAAAGUAACAAGUUCACUAUUCUUGUUGAACCUGGAUUCGCUGCAAUAGCCUAGGGAUCUCACCAAGUGGUUCUUGCCGAGUUCUAGUAGUAGUUAGAAGAUUAUAAAAGGGUCUCAGAUAGAUCAGAAGUGUAAAGAAUACAGUAAGUGAAAUCAUUCUUGGAAUGGGUGAGUGUGCGUAUUUGAGAGUAGCACCUCUGGUCCGAAUCAUGUUGGUGUGAUUGAUCGUGCAUGUUCUUGUUUGAUUGUUGCACGGUUAAUCAAGUUAACAUUGACCAAACUGGAGAUGUUACUUUCACGUAUGGCACAUCACCUAACGUUCCAAAUUUCAUGUUGCUGUUAUGGGAGAAAGUCAGAUAGAAAAGGUUGAGAAGUAAUAGUCUACAUAUACAAGAUUGUUAGAAAAAGUAUGCAGACCGCAGUUGACAAGAAUUGUGCAGACUAAAGAAUUUGGUUAUCUUGAAAGUGGCUGCUCAGAAAAGAAAGGAUCGGUUGGGGGAAUCAAGGGAUCGACCAUGAGUUGUUUUGAUAUGGGAAGAUUAAGAUAAGGUAAGAGCUAAUAUCCAUAACUCCUUUCAGAGACUGUUCAGUAAAGAGUGUACAGCUACGUUUUCAGAAUUCGGGGACGAAUUCUAUUGAGGAGGGAAGAAUGUAAUAACCCUCACGAG